CAGUAGCCGCGGGAAUACGUAGGUGGCAAGCGUUGUCCGGAAUUAUUGGGCGUAAAGGGUGCGUAGGCGGGUCUUUAAGUCAGGGGUGAAAUCCUGGAGCUCAACUCCAGAACUGCCUUUGAUACUGAAGAUCUUGAGUUCGGGAAAGGUGAGUGGAACUGCGAGUGUAGAGGUGAAAUUCGUAGAUAUUCGCAAGAACACCAGUAGCGAAGGCGGCUCACUGGCCCGAUACUGACGCUGAGGCACGAAAGCGUGGGGAGCAAACAGGAUUAGAUACCCCCGUAGUCCCUGUCUCUUAUAC
rnacentral:rRNA from 1 species